rnacentral:rRNA from 1 species
UACAGAGGUCUCAAGCGUUGUUCGGAUUCAUUGGGCGUAAAGGGUGCGUAGGCGGCGCGAUAAGUCGGGUGUGAAAUCUCGGAGCUUAACUCCGAAACUGCAUUCGAUACUGCCGUGCUUGAGGACUGGAGAGGAGACUGGAAUUUACGGUGUAGCGGUGAAAUGCGUAGAUAUCGUAAGGAAGACCAGUGGCGAAGGCGGGUCUCUAGACAGUUCCUGACGCUGAGGCACGAAGGUCAGGGGAGCAAAACGGGG